GACGAACGCUGGCGGCGUGCUUAACACAUGCAAGUCGAACGAUGAAGCCGGAGCUUGCUCUGGUGAAUUAGUGGCGAACGGGUGAGUAACACGUGAGUAACCUGCCCUUGACUCUGGGAUAACUGCGGGAAACUGUAGCUAAUACCGGAUACGACCCUCGGAGGCAUCUCCUGGGGGUGGAAAGAAUUUCGGUCAAGGAUGGACUCGCGGCCUAUCAGCUAGUUGGUGAGGUAAAGGCUCACCAAGGCAACGAGGCGUAGCCGACCUGAGAGGGGGACCGGCCACACUGGGACUGAGACACGGCCCAGACUCCUACGGGAGGCAGCAGUGGGGAAUAUUGCACAAUGGGGGGAAGCCUGAUGCAGCAACGCCGCGUGAGGGAUGACGGCCUUCGGGUUGUAAACCUCUUUUAGCAGGGAAGAAGCGAGAGUGACGGUACCUGCAGAAAAAGCACCGGCUAACUACGUGCCAGCAGCCGCCGUAA
rnacentral:rRNA from 1 species